AGUGAACGCUGGCGAUAGGCCUAACACAUGCAAGUCGAACGGCAGCACAGUAAGAGCUUGCUCUUACGGGUGGCGAGUGGCGGGCGGGUGAGGAAUACAUCGGAAUCUACUUUUUCGUGGGGGAUAACGUAGGGAAACUUACGCUAAUACCGCAUACGACCUACGGGUGAAAGCAGGGGAUCUUCCGACCUUGCGCGAUUGAAUGAGCCGAUGUCGGAUUAGCUAGUUGGCGGGGUAAAGGCCCACCAAGGCGACGAUCCGUAGCUGGUCUGAGAGGAUGAUCAGCCACACUGGAACUGAGACACGGUCCAGACUCCUACGGGAGGCAGCAGUGGGGAAUAGUGGACGAUGGGCGCAAGACUGAUCCAGCCAUACCGCGUGGGUGAAGAAGGCCUUCGGGUUGUAAAGCCCUUUUGUUGGGAAAGAAAAGCAGCAGGUUAAUACCCCGCUGUUCUGACGGUACCCAAAGAAUAAGCACCGGCUAACUUCGUG
rnacentral:rRNA from 1 species